AUGAGAGCGAAGGGCUUCCCGCCGGUGUGGUGCGAUUGGAUUCGUAAUCUUAAUCAGACUAGCCAGUCGGCUGUGCUCCUUAAUGGUAAACCUGGCCCAUGGAUCAACUGCAGACAGGGGCUUCGCCAAGGCGACUCGCUCUCUCCUUAUCUCUUCAUUAUUGUAGCCGAUGUGUUGCAACGUCUGAUCCUUCAGGCAUCCGCUAAUGGCCUUCUAUCUCACCCGAUCGAUCCAAGCAUUCCUUGCCCAGUUCUACAGUAUGCUGACGACACCCUUAUCAUUCUGCAAGCUGACCAUGACCAACUUCAAACUCUAAAAUCUAUCCUUCUUGAAUUCUCAAACGCCACGGGUCUGGUGAUUAAUUUUCACAAAAGCACGUUUGCUCCCAUUCAUGUUGAUCCGGAUCUCGCAUCUCAACUUGCAACUAGUUUUGGCUGCGCGGUUGCAUCGUUCCCUCAAUCCUACCUUGGCCUUCCCCUCUCCACUCACAAAUUAAACCUAAAAGAUUUCUUCUUCAUUAUUGACAAGAUUGAUCGUCGUCUCGCGGGCUGGUGA
rnacentral:rRNA from 1 species